rnacentral:rRNA from 1 species
CCUACGGGGGGCAGCAGUGGGGGAUAUUGCACAAUGGGGGGAACCCUGAUGCAGCGACGCCGCGUGGGUGAAGAAGCGCCUCGGCGCGUAAAGCCCUGUCAGCAGGGAAGAAAAUGACGGUACCUGAAGAAGAAGCCCCGGCUAACUACGUGCCAGCAGCCGCGGGAAUACGUAGGGGGCAAGCGUUAUCCGGAUUUACUGGGUGUAAAGGGGGCGCAGACGGCGAUGCAAGCCAGGAGUGAAAGCCCGGGGCCCAACCCCGGGACUGCUCUUGGAACUGCGUGGCUGGAGUGCAGGAGGGGCAGGCGGAAUUCCUGGUGUAGCGGUGAAAUGCGUAGAUAUCAGGAGGAACACCAGUGGCGAAGGCGGCCUGCUGGACUGCAACUGACGUUGAGGCCCGAAAGCGUGGGGAGCAAACAGGAUUAGAUACCCCGGUAGUC